rnacentral:misc_RNA from 1 species
UAAAUGUCUAUUUUUUUCUCUCAGCUAUCCCAUUUUGUGAACUAGUAUCAACACAAUUCUGAUGUAAAAUCCUAUAUGUCUUCAAAUACUCCUGAAAGACUCCAUUCAUAUAUUCUGUACCAUUAUCAAUUCUCAAUAUUUUAACAUGAGCAUGAAACUGUGUACUAAUCAUUUUAUGAAACUACUGGAAACAAGAGAAAACUUCAUUUUUCCCUUUCAUCAAAUAUACCCAAGUUAACCUACUGCAGCAAUCAAUAAAAGUCACAAACCAUCUAUAACCUGAUAAAGACACAGUUUGAGUAGGCUCCCAUAUAUCAGAAUGGAUAGUUAUAAAAGGAACUGAAACUUUAUUAUUUGUUGUAGGAUAAGAUUGUCUAGUAUAUUUAACAAACUCACAGACAUUAUAUACUAACAAUUCAGUUUUGCAUU